rnacentral:rRNA from 1 species
CCUACGGGAGGCAGCAGUGAGGAAUAUUGGACAAUGGGCGCAAGCCUGAUCCAGCCAUGCCGCGUGCAGGAAGACGCAUCUAUGGUGUGUAAACUGCUUUUGUACGGGAAGAAACACUCCUUCGUGAAGGAGCUUGACGGUACCGUAAGAAUAAGGAUCGGCUAACUCCGUGCCAGCAGCCGCGGUAAUACGGAGGAUCCAAGCGUUAUCCGGAAUCAUUGGGUUUAAAGGGUCCGUAGGCGGUUUAAUAAGUCAGUGGUGAAAUCUGGUCGCUCAACGAUCAAACGGCCAUUGAUACUGUUAGACUUGAAUUACUAGGAAGUAACUAGAAUAUGUAGUGUAGCGGUGAAGUGCUUAGAUAUUACAUGGAAUACCAAUUGCGAAGGCAGGUUACUACUAGUGGAUUGACGCUGAUGGACGAAAGCGUGGGGAGCGAACAGGAUUAGAUACCCUGGUAGUCCACGCCGUAAACGAUGGAUACUAGCUGUUGGGCGCAAGUUCAGUGGCUAAGCGAAAGUGAUAAGUAUCCCACCUGGGGAGUACGUUCGCAAGAAUGAAACUCAAAAGGAAUUGACGGNUGAGAGAGCGAGACGACACGAGGGAGGAGG